rnacentral:lncRNA from 1 species
CUCUCUCUCUCUCUCUCUCUCUCUCUCUCUCUCUCUCUCUCUCUCUCUCUCUCUCUCUCUCUCUCUCUCUCUCUCUCUCUCUCUCUCUCUCUCUCUCUCUCUCUCUCAACUCGCUGACGAGAUCUCCGUCAACCUUUUGAGAGCCGACGACCUCCGCCGGCACGGGUGAGCAGCACCUUAGAGAUCCGGCUUCCACCACCAGUGCAGGACUACACCGCCAAACCACCACCGCUACAGGAGUACCGCCUUGCCACCACUUCAAACCACUCACCCAAUAGAUAACUAGAUCGGAGUCCAAAGCAAGAUCCGGCAAAACCCAAGCUUUCUCGGCACACCGAUUAUCCAACCAGUCGAACCACCAACUCCGGCUGGACCACCAACCUCUAUAAGGUGUCGCAUCGAUCUUGUUGCACUCCCAGUUCCGAUCUGUCCACCUACGAUGACGAAACCUGUGUAUGAGGACGAAUUUGAGAAUAAGAGAAAAGAUGGGACUUUGAAGGGAAUGUUGCUAGCUGGGUGCGCAGGUUAGAAUUGGAUUGGGCGUAGGAUAAGCAGCUGGGACUUCUUCUUUGGGUUGUUGAACAAGAGUGUUGAAGAGAUGAGGAAAAGUUUAGCUACUUAGCCAAACUAAUGAUUUGGCUAAGUAGUUCCUGUGUAUUAUUGUAUUCUUGAUACAUGAAUCAUGCUUGCUUUUUGUCAAGCUCAGCCUCAGAGGAUUGUUGCUAUGAAUCAAAUUUAUCAUGUUUGAGUUUUACAAUUCCUUCUUCUUCGUUUUUGUUUUGGCAUAUUCAAGUUGGCAAGAACUAAUCAUGUAACUAGUGAUGUAAUUGAUAAUAGAAGUGACUGGAAUGCAACAAGCUAUGUAACUGAUAAUGUAACCUGCGGUUAUAUGACAAGUUAUAUGGUCAGUCUCAUGAAAUUAAGCAAGUUACAUGGUCAGUCUCAUGGAUAGUUACAUAGGCAGGUUAAUGUAAUUGCACAUGUGUAGCAUGUAUGUAACUACACAGGUAACUAUCAAUCUGUAGUUACAUGGAUAGUUACAUAGAUUGAUAGUUAC